rnacentral:rRNA from 1 species
GAAUAUUGGACAAUGGGCGAAAGCCUGAUCCAGCAAUGCCGCGUGAGUGAUGAAGGCCUUAGGGUUGUAAAGCUCUUUCGGCGGGGAAGAUGAUGACGGUACCCACAGAAGAAGCCCCGGCUAACUUCGUGCCCGCAGCCGCGGUAAUACGAAGGGGGCUAGCGUUGUUCGGAUUUACUGGGCGUAAAGCGCACGUAGGCGGAUCGUUAAGUCGGGGGUGAAAUCCUGGAGCUCAACUCCAGAACUGCCUUCGAUACUGGCGAUCUAGAGUCCGGAAGAGGUGAGUGGAACUCCUAGUGUAGAGGUGGAAUUCGUAGAUAUUAGGAAGAACACCAGUGGCGAAGGCGGCUCACUGGUCCGGUACUGACGCUGAGGUGCGAAAGCGUGGGGAGCAAACAGGA